rnacentral:rRNA from 1 species
UACGGGGGGGGGCAAGCGUUGUUCGGAAUUACUGGGCGUAAAGGGCUCGUAGGCGGCCAACUAAGUCCGACGUGAAAUCCCAAGGCUUAACCUUGGAACUGCGUCGGAUACUGGAUGGCUUGAAUUCGGGAGAGGGAUGCAGAAUUCCAGGUGUAGCGGUGAAAUGCGUAGAUAUCAAGAGGAACACCCUGAGGUGAAGACGGGUUGCUGGGCCGACACUGACGCUGAGGCGCGAAGCCAGGGAGCAAACGGG